rnacentral:rRNA from 1 species
GUCCUUUUGGUAUUUAUUUAAGGUCUAACCUGCCCAAUGAUUUUUCAAUGGCCGCGGUAAUUUGACCGUGCAAAGGUAGCAUAAUCACUUGUCUCUUAAAUGGAGGCUAGAAUGAAUGGUUGGACGAGAUAUAUACUUUCUUUGUUGUAUUAAGUUGAAUUUAAUUUUUGAGUUAAAAAGCUUAAAUUUUUUUAUGGGACGAGAAGACCCUGUAGAAUUUUAUAUUAAUUCAUUUUUAAUUGUUUUUGUUUAUUAUUGACUUUUUUAUUUGUUUUAAUAUUUUGUUGGGGCGACAGGAAGAUUUUUUAAACUCUUCUUAUUUUUUUUCACUGAUUUGUGUUUUUAUUUUGAUCCUUUAUUAAAGAUUAUUAGAUUGAAUUACCUCAGGGAUAACAGCGUAAUCCUUUUGGAGAGCUCUUAUCGAUAAAAGGGUUUGCGA